CUCAAUUGAAUCAUCAAAUCAAAAUCGAUUGAAACGAUGAAACUUGAAAGUGAAACCCUAGUCUUCUUCUUCUUCUUCUUCUUCUUCUUCUUCUUCACUCUAGUCUGCUUCUUCUUCAUCGUCACUCAUCAUCAGUCAGUGAUUUCUGCUAGAGGCUGAGCAUCCUCUUCUCCUUCUGUCUCUUCUUAGCUUCUCCUCGUCCAGACGUAGCAAAGCGAUGACCCGGGAACGAAUUCCUCACCGGCAGGGGAACAGGAGACGGCCAUGUCGAGGCACAUCAGCUCCUGAAACGACAGGGGGCCAGAGUCCAGACGCAAUAAAGCUUCCUCUUCCUCUUCUCCUUUGAGGCAUAUUUUGACCUGAAAAGGUAAGCUUUGCUUGCGGUGACUGGGGCAAAAGGAUGCUUGAGAUGAAUGACUGGGACAAAUUUAAGAUUUGUCUCUCUCUGUAAUUGGUAAAGUGGAAAGGGACAUGAAUGUCUCUAGGCUCUUCCUGCUCAUGUGGGCAACAAGGACCUCAUUGCUCCCGGCUAUUAUGAUUCUCGUCAAUGCCAGAGUAGAGCCUGUUGUUUUCUCCAUUGAAACUUUGCUAUAGAGAAAUGAUAUAUGUCUGUUGAAACUUGUGCUGUCUCUGUUUGCUGAAAGUGUAAUGGGCGGUUCCAUCUUUCUUUCGCGAAAUUCUGGGUUCCUUCUGCUAAUGCCGGACAAUUGCACAGGAAAUGGGAGGAUUCUUCGAAUUUUUAAUGAAGAUUCUCAUGGAUGUGCUUGUCUGAAACUCUGAACUUUGGCUUGAACAUAUACAACUGAGUUGAAUUAUUGAAAUUCGUGGUCUGUAUAGUGAUGAGCGCUUUCCCAGAUAGAACCAGAAAGACACUUCUUUUUUUGUUAUAUUGACCUCCUAGAGAACCUUUUGUUUCAUCUAAAAUCUGCAUAUUGUGGGUGGAUGAUAAUUUCUGCUUGAACUUCACUGUUUGACUUUGAUUCUACCCUUUUAUUGAGAUCCUGAUGGUGCAAGGAAGAAGAGCGAUCGCGAGUUUGAGAGAUAGAGAGAAAGGGGGCGAGAGAGAGAUCGAUCGAUCGAUUAGAAAGAAAAAGGGAUGGAGGCAACGGUGAGUUUGAUUUGGUACAUAUUUGAUGAAAUGCCCGUGUGUGAGAAAGAGGUGUUGUCGGUUACAUGUGAGAAAGAGGUGUUGUCGCUGCCUGCACUGGUGCCUCAAUGGAGCGGAAGCUUGUGGUGAGUCCCUAUCCCUUGUCCAUUGUUCACUGCUGUCUAGGAGGUGGUCAUUUUUCAGGUAAUAGGAAUUGGCAGCAAUAUGAGUGAAGAUCUCAGUUUGUUGUACUGCUUUUAGAAGUUCAUUAUGUGGAGGAAAUGGGGAGGUGGUCCCUCUUCUGGUUUUUUCUCGAGCUGUAAGCUAGACUCUUGGUUAGAUGUGUAGAGGUUUAUCUGAUCGAUCUGAUAUGGAAUUAAAUUGAUUAUUUAUUUAUAAAACUUAUUGUUGAGUAAUUU